AAAAGCUAAAAGAAAAAGUAGUAAAAAAUAGGAUUUCUUACUAAUAAUUCUGCCUUUGUGGAACCUGCCAUUGACUUCAUAAUUUCCCUGUACCUGCCAUUGACUUCAUAAUUUCCCUGUUUUUAUCUUCACUUUCUUCUUAUUUCUUACCCACCACAUUCUUUCUUCUUCACUGCUUUUAAUUUGUUUCCAUCUCCAAGGUCUAUCACAAGUUUUAAGCAUACAGUCAAGCUAGCUUUGUAAGAUAGUCAAGGAAGUCAACUUCACUGCUUCAUUUUCAGUUCUAAUCUCUCAACACUUUUCAGCCAC